rnacentral:rRNA from 1 species
UGGGGAAUAUUGGACAAUGGGGGAAACCCUGAUCCAGCAAUGCCGCGUGUGUGAAGAAGGCCUUAGGGUUGUAAAGCACUUUCGCCCGCGAAGAUGAUGACGGUAGCGGGAGAAGAAGCCCCGGCUAACUCCGUGCCAGCAGCCGCGGUAAUACGGAGGGGGCUAGCGUUGUUCGGAAUUACUGGGCGUAAAGAGCGCGUAGGCGGCUUAUUGAGUUAGGCGUGAAAGGCCUGGGCUUAACCUGGGAACUGCGCUUAAUACGGAUAGGCUUGAGUCCGGAAGGGGGUGGCGGAAUUCCCAGUGUAGAGGUGAAAUUCGUAGAUAUUGGGAAGAACACCGGUGGCGAAGGCGGCCACCUGGUCCGGUACUGACGCUGAGGUGCGAAAGCGUGGGGAGCAAACAGG